rnacentral:sRNA from 1 species
UUACUCAUUUACCGUUUAUUAAGCUUUCCAAAUUAUAACUUUGUAUAUCCAGUCAUCUGGAUUUCGAGUGGCUCCUGUCCACUCUGUUUGACGCCUCCCUGUUAAUGACUUCGAGCCGCGUUCGUCGCGGCUCUUUUUUU